AUUUUUCUUCUUCAUAAAUUAAAGCCUUUGGGGUGCUUAAUUAAUUUCUUGGGAUUUUUAUUAAAAGGGAAUUCUUUUAUGGCACCCAAAAAUGAUCGUGGGCUUUGUGUUUUUACCCUGAAGAUCUUUUACUAAACUAGGUUCUUGUGAUUUUUGGAGUUCUUUUGCUCUGCUUUUGCCUGUUUACUUUGGCUUUUGGCCCUUUUGGUGAUUAAGAUAUUUCUGGGAGAGUGGGACUAUUAUGGAGGAGGUUGAAGAAGCUAACAAAGAAGCUGUGGAGAGCUGCCCAUAGAGUUCUGGGUUUGUUGUCUCAACCCCAAGAUCAGGUCCAGUGUAGGAAUUUAACGGUCGAAACUGGAGAGGCUGUGUUUAGGUUCAAGAGAGUUAUUUCUCUUCUAAAUUCUGGGUUAGGUCAUGCCAGAGUUAGGAAACUCAAGAAAUUACUGACCCCUUUAUCCCAAAGCAUCCUUUUAGAUAACCCACACCAUGGGACUGAUCUUCCAUCCAAGAAUUUUCAGUUUCUCCAAUCUGGUAGUUACUUUGAUAGCCACCCAAUUCAGGAAUUGGGUUCAAAUGCUAAGAAUUCCCUUUGUUUUGGGGCCCCAUCUUUGGAGCUGAGUUCAAAUGGGAAAAACCCUCUUCACCUUGCCCAACAAACACCGUCAACACAUUAUCACUUCCUUCAGCAACAACAACGAUUACAGCUCCAACAGCAGCAGCAAGCUGAGAUGAUGUUUAGAAGGAGCAAUAGUGGGAUUAAUCUGAACUUUGAUAACUCUAGCUGUACGCCUACAAUGUCAUCUACUAGAUCUUUCAUAUCUUCCUUGAGUAUAGAUGGUAGUGUGGCUAAUUUAGAAGGAAGUGCGUUUCAUUUGAAUGGGGCACCUCGGUCCUUGGAUCAGAGUUCACAGCAACACAAGAGAAAGUGUUC
rnacentral:misc_RNA from 1 species